AUGCAUGUUUCCCAUCACAUGUAUGCAGCCAUGUAUGCCAAGCAAGGCUGGCCUCAGACGGGUGCCACAACUUGGGGUGUCUUUGGCUCGCUUGUGAAGGAUAGUAAGGGGAAGAGGCAAGGUUGUGCUGCUACACCUCGUCAUUUGUCCGCUCGGUCUGCAAUGCUCUCCAACGACAGGUUGGAGAUGAAGUGGUUGCACGCGAAGUGA
rnacentral:rRNA from 1 species